rnacentral:rRNA from 1 species
AGAGUUUGAUCAUGGCUCAGGAUGAACGCUAGCGGCAGGCUUAACACAUGCAAGUCGAGGGGUAUAGGUUUUCGGACCUAGAGACCGGCGCACGGGUGCGUAACGCGUAUGCAAUCUGCCUUUUACAGAGGGAUAGCCCAGAGAAAUUUGGAUUAAUACCUCAUAGUAUCAUGAAUCGGCAUCGGUUUAUGAUUAAAGUUCCAACGGUAAAAGAUGAGCAUGCGUCCCAUUAGCUAGAUGGUAAGGUAACGGCUUACCAUGGCAACGAUGGGUAGGGGUCCUGAGAGGGAGAUCCCCCACACUGGUACUGAGACACGGACCAGACUCCUACGGGAGGCAGCAGUGAGGAAUAUUGGUCAAUGGGCGCAAGCCUGAACCAGCCAUGCCGCGUGCAGGAUGACGGUCCUAUGGAUUGUAAACUGCUUUUGUACAGGAAGAAACAGUUCUACGUGUAGAACCUUGACGGUACUGUAAGAAUAAGGAUCGGCUAACUCCGUGCCAGCAGCCGCGGUAAUACGGAGGAUCCAAGCGUUAUCCGGAAUCAUUGGGUUUAAAGGGUCCGUAGGCGGUUUUGUAAGUCAGUGGUGAAAGCCCAUCGCUCAACGGUGGAACGGCCAUUGAUACUGCAAGACUUGAAUUGUUGGGAAGUAACUAGAAUAUGUAGUGUAGCGGUGAAAUGCUUAGAUAUUACAUGGAAUACCAAUUGCGAAGGCAGGUUACUAUCAACACAUUGACGCUGAUGGACGAAAGCGUGGGGAGCGAACAGGAUUAGAUACCCUAGUAGUCC